rnacentral:rRNA from 1 species
AGUGAACGCUGGCGGUAGGCCUAACACAUGCAAGUCGAACGGCAGCACAGUAAGAGCUUGCUCUUACGGGUGGCGAGUGGCGGACGGGUGAGGAAUACAUCGGAAUCUACUUUUUCGUGGGGGAUAACGUAGGGAAACUUACGCUAAUACCUCAUACGACCUACCGGUGAAAUCAGGGGAUCUUCGGACCUUGCUCGGUUGCAUGAGCCGAUGUCGGAUUUGCUAGUUGGCGGGGUAAAGGCCCACCAAGGCGACGAUCCGUAGCUGGUCUGAGAGGAUGAUCAGCCACACUUGAAGUGAGACCCGGUCCAGACUCCUACGGGAGGCAGCAGUGGGGUAUAUUGCACAACUGGAGCAAGCCUGUGCCAGGUAUCCCGCGUCGUUGACGAAGGACUACGGGUACUAAAGCGCUUGUGCUUGGAAAGAAAAGCGGCACUUUAGUACCUCGCUAUUUUGACGGUACCGAAAGAAUAAGCACCGGCUAACUUCGUG